CAGCUAGGUAAUCUAGUUAGCAUCGAGAAUAUGUCUCCAGCUAGGUAAUCUAGUUAGCAUCGAGAAUAUGUCUCCAGCUAGGUAAUCUAGUUAGCAUCGAGAAUAUGUCUCCAGCUAGGUAAUCUAGUUAGCAUCGAGAAUAUGUCUCCAGCUAGGUAAUCUAGUUAGCAUCGAGAAUAUGUCUCCAGCUAGGUAAUCUAGUUAGCAUCGAGAAUAUGUCUCCAGCUAGGUAAUCUAGUUAGCAUCGAGAAUAUGUCUCCAGCUAGGUAAUCUAGUUAGCAUUGAGAAUAUGUCUCCAGCUAGGUAAUCUAGUUAGCAUUGAGAAUAUGUCUCCAGCUAGGUAAUCUAGUUAGCAUUGAGAAUAUGUCUCCAGCUAGGUAAUCUAGUUAGCAUUGAGAAUAUGUCUCCAGCUAGGUAAUCUAGUUAGCAUUGAGAAUAUGUCUCCAGCUAGGUAAUCUAGUUAGCAUUGAGAAUAUGUCUCCAGCUAGGUAAUCUAGUUAGCAUUGAGAAUAUGUCUCCAGCUAGGUAAUCUAGUUAGCAUUGAGAAUAUGUCUCCAGCUAGGUAAUCUAGUUAGCAUUGAGAAUAUGUCUCCAGCUAGGUAAUCUAGUUAGCAUUGAGAAUAUGUCUCCAGCUAGGUAAUCUAGUUAGCAUUGAGAAUGUGUCUCCAGCUAGGUAAUCUAGUUAGCAUUGAGAAUGUGUCUCCAGCUAGGUAAUCUAGUUAGCAUUAUGAGAAUGUGUCUCCAGCAAGGUAAUCUAGUUAGCAUU